AUAGAGAUCUCUCAUGUAUCCUCAGAAAAACAACUUGCUGAUAUGUUCACUAAACCAUUAGAUUUAAACAGUUUUGUAAAUCUGCAAAAAUCUAUUGGAUUGUGUGAUCACUAAUGAUUCUUGUCUUUAAGGCGUAUGCAACAGGUUCCUCUGUACAGGGUUGCAUAGCUUUGUGUCUGUAUUUUAAACAAAAAAAAAAAAAAAACUUUCAGCAAAUCUUCUCAGGAAAACAGCUGCUUCGCAUACUACUUGUCGAAGAAGUCCGAUACGGAUGUGUAGUGGCUGCAAGAAAAAGAAAAUCUCCAGAAAAGUGUAGGCAGGAAAGGGGUGAUACUUCUUUCUAUCUUCAAAGG
rnacentral:lncRNA from 1 species